rnacentral:lncRNA from 1 species
AAAUAUUUAGCGAGGUUAAACCCUAAAGUAUAGGAAGGGAUCCAAAUAUUUAGCAAGGUUAAACCCUAAUCCACACCAUUAUAAAUACUUCAUAUGGCGGCAGCGAGAGAGAAGAGGAAAAAGAGGAGAGAUACAGGAGAAGAAGAUACACAAGGCAAGGCAGAAGCAAGAAGAUUCACGGGCAGGGAAAAGAGAAGCAACCAUAAAGCACUCAU